AUGAACGCUGGCGGCGUGCCUAAUACAUGCCAGUCGAGCGAACAGACGAGGAGCUUGCUCCUCUGACGUUAGCGGCGGACGGGUGAGUAACACGUGGAUAACCUACCUAUAAGACUGGGAUAACUUCGGGAAACCGGAGCUAAUACCGGAUAAUAUAUUGAACCGCAUGGCUCAAUAGUGAAAGACGGUUUUGCUGUCACUUAUAGAUGGAUCCGCGCCGCAUUAGCUAGUUGGUAAGGUAACGGCUUACCAAGGCAACGAUGCGUAGCCGACCUGAGAGGGUGAUCGGCCACACUGGAACUGAGACACGGUCCAGACUCCUACGGGAGGCAGCAGUAGGGAAUCUUCCGCAAUGGGCGAAAGCUUGACGGAGCAACGCCGCGUGAGUGAUGAAGGUCUUCGGAUCGUAAAACUCUGUUAUUAGGGAAGAACAAAUGUGUAAGUAACUAUGCACGUCUUGACGGUACCUAAUCAGAAAGCCACGGCUAACUACGUG
rnacentral:rRNA from 1 species